UUUUGUAAGUCAUAAUAUAAAUUUUUAUAUUAUGUUGACGCAAUUAGAAAAGAAAAUGGUAAAUAUAAUUUUACCAUAUGAAAGUAAAUAAGAUACUAGUAAGUAUAUGUGGGUAAGUAAGAUAUUGUAACAAUAACCAAGUUAACUAAGUUAGAGGAUGGAUGAAAAUAGUCAUGUUAUGAGAAUAAAGGGGUUAGUUAUGUAAAAAUGAAAGAAAGUUUGAUUAAACAAGGAAAAAAAUGCAGAAUUUUCAUAAGUCAGUAUGUAUGUGUCGUGGGUUUGAAAGGGGAUUUAGGGUUCUCACCUAAAUCCAUCAUCAACACAAGAAUUCUGCAUAAAUUGGGGUGAUUUGAGCUGGAAAUCGAGUGCAUGAGACAUCAUCUACACUUGUCUAGGUGUCCUUGAGAUAAGGUGAAAAUGAUGAGUGUGAUGAUCUUGAUAAGAAUUUGGAACGUGUCAAGGAGAGCUCAAGCAUAGGAGGAUAACGGGUCAAAAUAAGGCAAGGUGACAAAUACACUUAUUGGAGUACUCAAGGUAAGUGAUUUCCGGAAUCACUUCUUAUCUUAUAAAUAAAGUUUUGAUAUGUUAAACGUAGGAAAUCAUGUGAGAAAUUAUGAGAAGGAGUAAGUACUAAGGUAUGUAUUAAUGAGGUAAGUCGUAAGAAGUUAUUUGUGCUUGGAAUUACAUGAUAGAAGUGAACGGGUCAAUAAUAAAGAAAGAAACAUGGCGUAAUGUGGUAGUUAGUUUGAUCAUGUGGUUAUACGUUAGAAAGAUUUAGGAGUUUGUAUAUGAUUAUUUUACAUAUUGGAAGCGUUUAUGAAGUGCGAGUAAUAAUGGAAUGGGUUAGCGAGUAUGUGGAGGAAUGAAUUAAGUAUGUGGGUAUAUAUGUAUAGAAUUAAUUUCAUACCAAUAGCCGAGACUUAUAAUAAUCAUGAAUAGAAGUGAGUAUGCACGUAGGUUUGUAUGUACGUGACCUAUUUAUAUGGAAGUUGUAAUUUGGAUACAUUAGCAAAUCAUUUGGAAUGAUGUAAGUGGUAUGUAAGAGCUUGUACGUUUGUAUGUGUGUUCGUAAUCAUGUGUGGAAGUAUGUGUCCAUGAAUAUCUGUAUGUAUGUACAUGUGCACGAAGUAGAAUUUAUUGUACACGAAUGAAUGGGACUUUUUUUUAUAUGUUUAUAUAGCUUCAAUACUUUUGAGUGUAAAGUUUCUAAACGGGUGUCUUGAGUAUGAAAUGAGAAUGCAGGUAUACUAUUAAUGUCCUUAUGAAGGUUUAAGGAAUUGGAAUGCAAGAUCGUACACGGAAUGAGGAUUCGAAAAGAUUAGCAUGAGAUGAAGAAAUACGGAGUCGUUAUUUAUUUAGGUAUGUUUAGUUUAUGAACAACGCCACCAAAUUUUAACGAUGCGUAUGUAUGUGGUGAUUACAGUUCGCACGGACUUAACAUCAUUAUGAAGUAAAUGAGGAUUGAAGAUCGGGUCAAAGAGCGAGGAUUGUACGGGAAGGGUAGUCACAUAACUGGUGAUUUUCUAUUACAUUUGAUGCGAUAAUCAAGAAUGAACGUUGUAAAUCUUUU
rnacentral:lncRNA from 1 species